GCUCACGUGUUUCAAACAGAGCUUCUACGUUUGCCGGUCGUUAUGCGUUGGUUUGUAUUUAAAACUUACAAAGACAAAAGCUAUGCAUGCCGGGUACAUGUGAUCGAAGACGAACAACCUUCUCAGCUGCAGUGUGGCAGUCAGGAUGGGCCUACUCAGAAAGGUGGAAGAACUCGAUGGAGGACUUGAUAUUGGACUUUUGAAAGGAGAUUCGGUACAAAUCAACUUAAGAAAAUGCUGAACCAUAGAAUGUACAAACACCUCUACCAGAGGGACCUUUGAAUAGACAACCUGCAGAUUUAUGCAGAUUCAGAGGGCAUAAUUACCUGUUAUGGACUACAGUUCCAGGUAUACAGAAAUAAUGUACUUGAAAGACAACAUGUCACAGCGUUAUCAAGAAACUCAAGUGCACUUCUGCUCACUUCGGUAUUCCAGAACAACUAGUGACAGACAACAGACCACAGUUCACAGCAACAGAAUUAAAGUCAUUCCAAAUGAAA